rnacentral:lncRNA from 1 species
GGAAAAAAUAAAAGGGGUGAAUUAUGAAACGGCUACUUGGCCAGGUUUCUAGUAUAAGACCUGCUGAAGAGUAUCUAAUAUAUAUUAUUUUUAUUUUUUAAAAUUUAAAAAAAAAAAACUGGUCGCUAAUUAGGUUUUUUAAUGUGUGUUUACAGGAGUGCGAAGGGCUGAAAAAUGCUAAUAGUGCUCUGUGGUUGGAUCAGAGUACUUAGCCUCAGCGAUCGCGAUGAAGACCAAAAAGUCAACCGUUGUUCCAGUCCGAGCGGAAAACGUGAAUCUAAAACUGGCUUGAAAGAAAACGGGCGCCAAAAUAAGUACACUAUUACACUUGAGGCCACAAAAACCAGUGUAUUAUGGCACCUUCAUUUUGUCUGUGUACGAGAGAAGCUCUUAUUUCAAUCAGAUACAGUUAAACUUUAAGAGCUUUAUUUAUUUACUUUUUUUAAACAGGAAUUAAAAAAGCUGAACGAUUUCCUGGUCAAUUUAAUGAAAAAAUCUUACUUAUGAAACUGCGCAACAUCAAGUUGUUAACAUUAUAUUUAUUUGAAUUCUCUGAGGAAAGAAUAAAACAUUUUUCACAACAAACCGAAUAUUUAUUAAAGCAAUUAAAUUAAUUACCACAGUUACACACCUGAGUAAACAAUGUUUGAUGUUUCGCAGGCUUGAAAGUGAAACAAACCUUCCAAACAAAGGAAAUUCUAAGGCAUUGCUUUGGUUUCAAUUUUUCCCCUUUGAAUGGGUGAGCAUUAGCCCCUGAACAUAUAUUAUUUGGCUUUUGGUCUUUAAACGUAAAAAAUAUUUCCAAACAAAGGAAAUUCUAUAUACAUUGCUUAAUUUAUAAUUCUUUGGAACGAGGGGCAUAAAUUACAAUACUAAAUUCAUAACAUUCAAAUGGGUUUGAAUAUUCGGAGGCUAUCAGAUCAUAUUUACACAGUGAACCAAAUGAUUAUUGAAACAAUUAAAUUUAAUAUCACAAUCGUACACCAGAACAGGUGAUGUUUGGUUACCUACUUGGCUUCACAGUAUAACAAGCCUUUCAAACAAAGGAAAUUGUACAUAUAUUGCGUAAGUAUAAAAUUUUUAUCUUUUUUUUUUUAAUGGAUGAGCAUAAAUUGGACAGAGUUUAUCAGAAAGGAACUAACCUAAAUAUUGCGAAAAAUUGAGUUGUUAAAGGUUUGGAGCUCAACAAGCUGAAUAUUUUCUUGUACCCAAAAUUCUUCGGCCUAAAAAAGAAUCUAGUUUGUGAAAAAAGGGGUCAAAAUUAAUUUUUUACAUGGAGUCACUUGGAAAAAUAAAAGUUAAAACCUCUUUUUUCCCAGUUUCAAAUUCUUGCCGGUUGGUUCCUUCCUGAUAAACUCAAUGAGCUUUACAAUAAACAAACCUU